CUUUGUGUGAGGAAGCGCGCAGGAUGCUCACAGUGUGUUUCAAUGUGCAGUGCCUGGUUUGGAGCAGCUGGGAUGUGGUUUUGCAGGUAGGAUGAUGCCAUGUGGGAUCACCAGGCUUGUCGGUGGCCCUGCCUGGCAGUAGGAUGGCAGGGAGCUGCUCCCGGGGCUCCUCCUGUCACUGAGAUGGGCACCACGGAUCCUCUGGCUUUAGCCAACUGGCAAAUACAAGAUUGUCAUGGUUCAGUGAUUUUUUGAUGUCUGUAUUCCACAUUAUAAUAUCAUGUAGUGCACUGGCAGUUAAAGAGUUAAUGCUCCAGUUCUAUGGAUUGUGGAUAUUGCUGGGUUCCUGGUUGGACAAGGCUGUAUUUCCUAAGGUGAGUUGGCAUAUGUUCAUCUGGCUUAAUCAGAUCACACCUUGCCUACCUGCACCGGGUUCUACCUUAAAAAUCUACUCACCUUUCCCCCACACAGGUGCAAUAUCCCCAUUCUUCCCUCUCCAUUGAUAUGGAAAGGUUGCUGAGGGUGGUGAAUCACCUGCCUAACUCCAGCCCAGAGUCCCCUUCUCAUUUUGAAAUUGGCUCAUGAUUUCUUUUAGCAUCCCUCGAGGACGGUCAUAUUCCAGUGAUGGUUUGAAGACUCUAUGAUUGUUUCCUCGCAAGGCGUUUCGUUUUACUUUUAACUUUCCUUCAAGCCCAAGGUUCAGAAAGCAGCGCUGUGCUCUGUGCCUGCUGGCCAUCGGCUGUGCAGCAAAGCUUUGGUGCUUCAAGGAGAGGGUGAGAUGCUCUGCAAGAUUUGAAAACGUCCCGAUUUUUAUUCCUGAAGAGUUAAAUGACGUGGAUUUACACUGACAUACGCAUACAGGCAGCUUUUUUCCCCCCCCAGCAGGUACAGAAGUGAGUGCCUGGUGUGACACCUGUGAACGGAGCUGCACAAAGCAGCAGUGACAGCGUGGUUCCCGCAGCAGAACUCAGUGCCACGCUGCUGCUCACUGCUCCAGCUUCCCUUCUCCUGGCACUGCCUCAGAGUACAGCUUCAUCCGGAGAUGCCAAUGGUGUGACAACACGGAGCUGCAGCAGGUGCAGUGCUGCGGGGCUGCAUUGUGCCUCCAUCACCAUCCCUACCCUCCAUCACCACAGCAGCCUCCUUUGCCUGCCCACAGAUGCACAGACCUGGCUAUAAAGGGAGCUGCCAGUGCUGUGGCUUGGCCUUGUGUAGCCCUGGUCCUUCUGUGCCCCAGGAUGCCCAAACCUGCUGUUGGUGGCAUUGCAGGGGGCUGAGGCAGCAGCCGUCCUUCUCAGCUUCCAGGAGAAGACCAGAAGGCAGCUGAGCAUCACUGCCAUGCUCUGACAGGAGCUUACACCUGGAAAGCAUUGGCAGGAAAGCAGUGAAGUCAUCGCAGGUCAAACGCUGAGUGUUGCUUAAAAAGGGAAGUUCGGACUAUGGACACGUGAACAAAUUGCCCUAAGGAUCCCACGUACCAACUGAUGUGUGAGAACCACUUCUUAUCUGCAGUGAGAACCAGCCCAUGCAAGGUCAGUUUAGAAAGGAGACUUGCCUGGGAUUUUGCUCUGAGGUUUGGCCAUCCAGUCCCCAUUACAGCUGAGCGUGGGAUUUUGCUGUAGAAAGGUGCUGAUUCUGCCAGAAUGCAAAACGUGUGCUGACAUCGGUGG
rnacentral:lncRNA from 1 species